rnacentral:rRNA from 1 species
CCCUUAGAUGUUCGGGGCCGCACGCGCGCUACACUGAAUGAAUCAGCGAGUGUAUGUCCUAGGCCGAAAGGUCCGGGUAACCCGUUGAACCUCAUUCGUGAUUGGGAUAGGGACUUGCAAUUGUUUCCCUUGAACGAGGAAUUCCCAGUAAGCGCAAGUCAUCAGCUUGCGUUGAUUACGUCCCUGCCCUUUGUACACACCGCCCGUCGCUACUACCGAUUGGAUGGUCCGGUGAAGCCUCGGGAUUGUGGUUCUUGCCGCUUUAUUGUGGCGUGACCGCGAGAACUUGUCUAAACCUUAUCAUCUAGAGGAAGGUGAAGUCGUAACA